rnacentral:rRNA from 1 species
UACGGAGGAUGCGAGCGUUAUCCGGAUUUAUUGGGUUUAAAGGGUGCGUAGGCGGGGAGUUUAAGUCAGCGGUGAAAGUUUAGUAGGCUCAACCUUAAAAUUAGCCGUUGAAACUGGGUUUCUUGAGUGUAUUUGAAGUAGGCGGAAUUCGUUGUGUAGCGGUGAAAUGCAUAGAUAUAACGAAGAACUCCAAUUGCGCAGGCAGCUUACUAAACUACAACUGACGCUGAAGCACGAAAGCGUGGGUAUCAAACAGGAUUAGAUACCCCCGUACGU